rnacentral:lncRNA from 1 species
GCCCCGGCCCGCCCCCGCCGGCGGAGCCCGGCCUCCUUCACACCUGACUCGGGCCAGCCCGGGUCCCGCGCGCGCAGAGAAGGGACCACGACGCGUCCCCGCCGAGUGGCAUCGGGGUUUAUUUGAGCCAAGUUCGUGGUCAGGAAUGGACACCUGAAUGGUCGGGACUGGUGCUGUG